UCAAAAAAGCUUCUCAAAAAAUAAACAGCUCUGGGUGGUGAGCACUCAGAAAAGGCGUCUCUGUCUGACUAAGCUUAAGAGGUCAAAGCUGCAUCCAAAACUCAUCCUGUCUGCGGUGGGGUGGGAGAAGGAGGAGGAAUCAAAGUCUGGAACCUUGCCACUGUCAGCCAAGGGCACAACCAGCAGCCUCUGAAACUGGCAGAAAAUGAUGAUAUGGGAAGAUGAGGUGGCAGUGAAAUUGACUGAGAGCUACCAAGGAAUGUGGGAAAAGUAUUUUUCCUUCUGGAAAAAGUAUCUGCUUACAAUGCACAGGCAUGAAGAGCCCAGCAGCCCUCUGCACAGCGUUCCACCAAACGAGAAAGGCGGUUGGAGACCACAGCAAGAGGAACACAAAUCACCGAGAUUGCAAAUGCACGGCUCGGGAGUUGAUCUACAAACACAA